UACAGAGGUCUCAAGCGUUGUUCGGAUUCAUUGGGCGUAAAGGGUGCGUAGGUGGCGAGGCAAGUCAGGUGUGAAAUCCCAGGGCUCAACCCUGGAACUGCACUUGAUACUACUUUGCUCGAGUACUGGAGAGGAGAUUGGAAUUUACGGUGUAGCAGUGAAAUGCGUAGAUAUCGUAAGGAAGACCAGUGGCGAAGGCGAAUCUCUGGACAGUUACUGACACUGAGGCACGAAGGCUAGGGGAGCAAACGGG
rnacentral:rRNA from 1 species